rnacentral:sRNA from 1 species
ACUAUUGAUCAGCACAGGAGGUUGAGGCUAGAGGACCGCUUGAGCCCAGGAGUUCUGGGAUGUAGAGGGCUAUGCCAAUCAGGUGUCCGUACUAAGUUCGGCAUCAGUAUGGUGACCUCCCGGGAGCGAGGGGAUCACCAGGUUGCCUAAGGAGGGGAGAACCGGCCCAGGUCAGAAAUGGGGGAGGUCAAAUCCCACUCCGCCCAGGCUGGAGUGCAAUCACUGCAACCUUGCCUCCCAGGUUCACGAGAUUCUCCUGCCUCA